CCUACGGGAGGCAGCAGUGAGGAAUAUUGGUCAAUGGACGAGAGUCUGAACCAGCCAAGUAGCGUGAAGGAUGACUGCCCUAUGGGUUGUAAACUUCUUUUAUAUGGGAAUAAAAUGUUCCACGUGUGGGAUUUUGUAUGUACCAUAUGAAUAAGGAUCGGCUAACUCCGUGCCAGCAGCCGCGGUAAUACGGAGGAUCCGAGCGUUAUCCGGAUUUAUUGGGUUUAAAGGGAUAGUAGGUGGAUUGUUAAGUCAGUUGUGAAAGUUUGCGGCUCAACCGUAAAAUUGCAGUUGAAACUGGCAGUCUUGAGUACAGUAGAGGUGGGCGGAAUUCGUGGUGUAGCGGUGAAAUGCUUAGAUAUCACGAAGAACUCCGAUUGCGAAGGCAGUUCACUGGACUGCAACUGACACUGAGGCUCGAAAGUGUGGGUAUCAAACAGGAUUAGAUACCCCUGUAGUC
rnacentral:rRNA from 1 species